rnacentral:rRNA from 1 species
UACGGAGGGUGCAAACGUUGCUCGGAAUCAUUGGGCGUAAAGCGCACGUAGGCGGCCUGUUAAGUCGGGUGUGAAAGCCCUGGGCUCAACCUAGGAAGUGCACUCGAAACUGGCGGGCUUGAAUAUGGAAGAGGGUCGCGGAAUUCCAGGUGUAGCGGUGAAAUGCGUAGAUAUCUGGAGGAACACCGGUGGCGAAGGCGGGUCUCUGGGCCGAUACUGACGCUGAGGAGCGAAAGCGUGGGGAGCGAACAGG